AGAUUGAACGCUGGCGGCAUACUUUACACAUGCAAGUCGAACGGCAGCACGGGGGCAACCCUGGUGGCGAGUGGCGAACGGGUGAGUAAUGCAUCGGAACGUAUCCUUGAGUGGGGGAUAACGCAGCGAAAGUUGUGCUAAUACCGCAUAAGCUCUGAGGAGGAAAGCGGGGGAUCGUAAGACCUCGCGCUGGUGGAUGAGCCUACGUCCGAUUAGUUAGUUGGUGGGGUAAAGGCCUACCAAGGCUACGAUCGGUAGCUGGUCUGAGAGGAUGAUCAGCCACACUGGGACUGAGACACGGCCCAGACUCCUACGGGAGGCAGC
rnacentral:rRNA from 1 species